rnacentral:pre_miRNA from 1 species
UGGCAGUGUGGUUAGCUGGUUGUAAAGAACCACACAACCACUUUCCGCACUUCCUCA